rnacentral:rRNA from 1 species
AUUGAACGCUGGCGGCAGGCCUAACACAUGCAAGUCGAGCGGAUGAGAGGAGCUUGCUUCUCGAUUCAGCGGCGGACGGGUGAGUAAUGCCUAGGAAUCUGCCUGGUAGUGGGGGCAACGUUUCGAAAGGAACGCUAAUACCGCAUACGUUCUACGGGAGAAAGCAGGGGACCUUCGGGCCUUGCGCUAUCAGAUGAGCCUAGGUCGGAUUAGCUAGUUGGUGAGGUAAUGGCUCACCAAGGCGACGAUCCGUAACUGGUCUGAGAGGAUGAUCAGUCACACGGGAACUGAGACACGGUCCAGACUCCUACGGGAGGCAGCAGUGGGGAAUAUUGGACAAUGGGCGAAAGCCUGAUCCAGCCAUGCCGCGUGUGUGAAGAAGGUCUUCGGAUUGUAAAGCACUUUAAGUUGGGAGGAAGGGUUGUAGAUUAAUACCCUGCAAUUUUGACGUUACCGACAGAAUAAGCACCGGCUAACUCUGUGCCAGCCGCCGCAGUAACAC